rnacentral:lncRNA from 1 species
CACCACAUGGACAUCUUUUGGCCGAGGAAGUUAUGGAGGACUCGCCUAAGAAAAAGGGAGAGAAGCCACCACCGAAGCACAAGCCACCACAUGGACAUCUUUUGGCCGAGGAAGAGGUCGAGGACUCACACAAAGGGAAGGGAGAGAAGCCACCACCAAAGCACAAGCCACCACAUGGACAUCUUUUGGCCGAGGAAGAAGUUGAGGACUCACACAAGGGAAAGGGAGAGAAGCCACCACCAAAACACAAGCCUCCGCAUGGACAUCUUUUAGCUGAAGAAAAAGUUGAGGACUCACACAAGGGAAAAGGAGAGAAGCCACCACCAAAACACAAGCCCCCGAAUGGACAUCUUUUAGCUGAAGAAGAAGUUGAUGACUCACACAAAGGAAAGGGAGAGAAGCCACCACCAAAGCACAAGCCACCACAUGGACAUCUUUUGGCCGAGGAAGAGGUCGAGGACUCAUACAAAGGAAAGGGAGAGAAACCACCACCAAAACACAAACCUCCACAUGGACAUCUUUUAGCCGAGGAAGAAGUUGAGGACUCACACAAGGGAAAGGGAGAGAAACCACCACCAAAACACAAGCCCCCACAUGGACAUCUUUUAGCCGAGGAAGAAGUUGAUGACUCGCACAAGGGAAAGGGAGAAAAGCCACCACCAAAACACAAGCCACCUCACGGGCACUUAUUAGUUGAAGAGGUUGAAGACUCACACAAGGGGAAAGGAGAAAAACCACCGCCAAAGCACAAACCACCUCAUGGACACCUUUUAGCUGAAGAGGCCAACGACUCUCACAAAGGAAAGGGAGAGAAGCCACCAUGCAAGUCUCCUCACAAACCCCCAUCAGCCAACUAAGUGCCUUACGCUAAUUUCGCUAGAUGCUUAAAAAUAAGAAACAGAAGUAGUUUACUCUUCUGUUGGUUUCUGUAUCUGCAUUUUUCACUGAAUUAGUAUUUGUACUUUGGCUUGUAUUAUAUGAGUACUACCCUCUAGUUGGCUGUUUUAUGUAGAUUAUGGUUUUAUGUUCUAGUGCUGCGCGUAUUAUUUCAGUUGACUUAACUUUUAUUUGCAAAAUAUACAGCAAGACAUGCACACAAUCCUAGUACGUAGUUUUGCCACAUGCAUAUAUUUGGUGGUAGGAUAUUGUCAACGACAACAACGUUUAAUUACUUUAACUUAAACACGUGCUGAUGAUUUUUUUUUUUGUAAAAGCCCUUUAUUAGUAAACUAGUAUUACUCUGACAUCAACAGAUAUACCAUAGGUUUUGUCUAAAACUUGAAGGUUUCUGUAGUUUAAUUUGGUAAGUAAAAUUUUUUGUGUGUAGCACAUAAUGAAUAUGUUACUUACAUGUGUAGAUUUAUAUUUUACAUUUUAUUUUAAUAUUAGAUAAUUAAUAUAUAUAUAUUUAAUUAUUUAAAUUUAUAUAUAUUACUAAUUUAUUAAUUUAGUCUAUAUAUAUAUAUGAUAUACAUUUAAGUUAAAUUAGGUAAGAAGUUAUUAAGUACUUCCAAAUUAAUAUGAAAUAAUUCUCUAAAGGAAAUGAAUCAACUCUUGGAAAAUGUCGGGAGAAAAGAUUUCAAAUUUCUGCAUGUCUCUGUUUCUGCUCAGUGGAUGUCUCUGUUUCUGCUUGCUGCCUAUGUUGCAAUAUUUAUUUGGCUUUUUAUUCCUGGUAAAUUUCUUAUUUUCCUCUUAAUUUUGACUAGGCCGGCUGAUUCGGGAGUAAGAUUUAAGUAGUUUUAUAUUUAAUGAAAAGUAGAAUUCUGAAGAAGCGAAAAUAAAUAUAAAAAGGGAUAAUUGGUGUUCUGAGUGAAUCAUUAUUAAACACAAAAUUAGUAUUACAAACAAAAUUGCAAUUAUCAAAAUGACAGUAUGCUCCACAGAUAGAUGAUUAUCUAAUCAGUACUUAUAAUUAGCCUAAAUUUAAUAGGAAUAGUACAGAAUUAAACUUUCUUUUUUAAAAAAAGGGUCAUUAAACUGAAUCAUAAGAACAGGAUAGAGAGUAUUUGUAAUCAAAGAAACAUAGAGAGAAUUCAAAGUAAUGCCCCCAGAUGAUAGCCCUGAACAAUAAAUAUUACUUAGAAAAACAAACUGCCAAGAGAAAUUAGUCAAUAAAAUUUAGAUUGAAUCACGAUAUUUAUAAACGAGUAGAUAAAUAUAUCUUUUUUAUUAAAAAAUAAUAUUGCAUAAUUCAUCUUAAUUUAUUUCAACUUUUACUCAUAAAAUGUGAUAUAUAAUAUAUUUAUAAAAUUAUUAAUAUUUUGAUAUUACUCUCUUAAUUAAUAAAUAAUUCCAUAAAAACAUCAUACACCAUAUUAUAUAAACAAUAGUUGGGACAAAUCAAAAUGAAAUGUUUAGCAUUUUUCUAGUUAAAACCUAUUCUACAAUUCAAACCAAAAAUAGCAGUCCAAGAAAGCAUAUCUUUCACUAAUAAUCCAAACAAAUCGCUAAUUCUAAACAACCACGUUUUGGUUAAAAGAUUAUUAAUUUAGUUUGUCUAAUAAUUCGAUCCUGAAUUUGCUGAGCCGCAGUAGGAUCUCGCUCGUAUAUACAAAUCCUGAAGAAGAUCACUAUAAAUUUCUGAUCCAAUAAUGAAACUUUGAAGUCCAUAAGUAGGUUUAGGAGAAAUUUAAAGGCAGAUUCAGUUUUAAUAUUAAAUUAUAAAUAAUAUCAAUUAUACAGUAAUAUAUAACAUUAUUUACUGAUUAUUACACUUAUAUCAGUUGAAUUCUAGCCAUAAAUAAUGAAUGGUAUGGAUAGUAGUACUUAAAAAGAAUAAUCUCCAUAUAUAUAUAAAUGCAUGGAAUUUAAUAACUUUCACACCUAUGAAAUUAUCCCACCUAAAACAGAAAACCUUAGUAUUAAAUUGAGAAUAAUGCAGAAAUAUAAAUAUUUGAAAUAAUUACAAAUAAUGCAGAAAUACAAGGACCGCAGGAAAACAGAGGCCACACACUCUUGGCUGGAAUGAUUUUCCUAUUUUUGCAUGCUCACCCAUUACUCUACUCUAUCGCAUUAUUAUUGUUCAAAACUUCACAACUUAACAAAUAUACUUCCAACACAUCACAUGCGUGACCCAUUAAUUAUUACAUGUGAACGUAAAAUGAGAAGUGGUGACAACAGCAGUGAUGUCACACUUUCUGAUAUUACUACAAUUCUUGGAUGACUUACCUUAAUUCCUUUCUGGUGCAUGUUGCAGUAAUUUAUUAGAAAUACAUAAGACCUUUUUUUUCUUCCUAUCUCUUUGUUUCAUUGUAGAAUAGUCCGAGACAACGAUAAUAUCUUACACUUAAUUUGUCUGUAAAUAUAUAUACACUUGACUUUACAUGCUAUAGUAUUAUUAACUAGUCACCUAGACAGAUUUGAAGUAGAUAAUAUUUAUCGAUAAAUUACUUUCUAGAUUUCUAUUUUAUGGUUACAUACAUCAAAAUUUCUGCAAAACAAGUGGAGAAUAGCCUAAUUUGGGGAUUCAAAGAAACUUUGAUGGCUUCUUUUUCUACUCGAAAUUAUACUAAAAAUAAUUCAUAAACAUGAAUGAUCCAAGGGUGGAGAGCAAGACUCUUAGCCAGUUUGUCAAAAAUUUUAACUCGAUGGGACCCAAUAGAUCUAAUUGGUUCGUAAGAGAGCCAAAUGUAUUCAACUUCACUACAUAGUGUACUAAUCUAUAGUAAAGGACAGGUGCAGUAUGACAUGGGUGGUGACGACAUAGUCCCACCGUCCACCCAUGCAAUAUUAUAAAAGGCAGAGCAAAGCUUCAAGUUUUGCACCAUCAACUGAACCCCAAAUAUGUCUUCUAAAUACUUGCUAGUGUUGUUCCUCCUCGGAGCAUUAGUGCUUCUCUUCACAACCCCCUCAUAUGCUGAUCAUCAUGAGCCCCUUAGAAAUAAAGGAGAGAAACCACCUCCAAAACAUAAACCACCACAUGUUCAUCUUCUAGCUGAAAAUAUAGAAGAUUUUCAUGGACAUGCAAAAGGUAAAAGAGACAAGCCACCACCUAAACAUAAACCACCACAUGGACAUCUUUUAGCUGAGGAAGUAGAUGAUUAUUCUACAUCUCCGGGAUGGAAACUACAUAAUCCUCCAUCAGAGCAUAAACCACCGCAUAAGCCUCCACAUGAGCAAAAGCCACUAAAUAGACGUCUUUUACAAGUAGAUAUUGAGGAUGCACAUAAAGAAAAGGGAGAGAAGCCACCACAUGGACAUCUUUUGGCCGAGGAAGUUAUGGAGGACUCGCCUAAGAAAAAGGGAGAGAAGCCACCACCAAAGCACAAGCCACCACAUGGACAUCUUUUGGCCGAGGAAGAGGUCGAGGACUCACACAAAGGGAAGGGAGAGAAGCCACCACCAAAGCACAAGCCACCACAUGGACAUCUUUUGGCCGAGGAAGAAGUUGAGGACUCACACAAGGGAAAGGGAGAGAAGCCACCACCAAAACACAAGCCCCCGCAUGGACAUCUUUUAGCUGAAGAAAAAGUUGAGGACUCACACAAGGGAAAAGGAGAGAAGCCACCACCAAAACACAAGCCCCCGCAUGGACACCUUUUAGCUGAAGAAGAAGUUGAUGAUUCGCACAAGGGAGAGGGAGAAAAGCCACCACCAAAACACAAGCCACCUCACGGGCACUUAUUAGUUGAAGAGGUUGAAGACUCACACAAGGGGAAAGGAGAAAAACCACCGCCCAAGCACAAACCACCUCAUGGACACCUUUUAACUGAAGAGAUCAACGACUCUUACAAAGGAAAGGGAGAGAAGCCACCUCACAAGCCUCCCCACAAACCCCCAUCAGCCGACUAAGUACCUUAGGCUAAUUUCGCUAAAUGCUUAGAAAUAAGAAACAGAAGUCUACUCUUCUGUUGGUUUCUGUAUCUGCAUUUUCACUGAAUUAGUAUUUGUACUUUGGCUUGUAUUAUAUGAAUACUACCCUCUAGUUGGCUGUUUUAUGUAGAUUAUGGUUUUAUGUUCUAGUGCUGUGUGUAUUAUUUCAGUUGAUUUAACUUUUAUUUGCAAACUAUACAGCAAUACAUGCACUUACUCCUAGUACGUAGUUCUGCCACAUGCAUAUAUUUGGUGGUAGGAUAUUGCCAACGACAACAACGUUUAAUUACUUUAACUUAAAUCAAAUAUGAAAUGAUUCUCUUAAUUAAAACUAAAUUUUUUUUAUACCCUAAUUUAACCCUUAUUUAUUAAUUAUAUUUAUUAAAUCUCUUAUUAGUUAAAGUAUAUAUAAUAAAACUAGGUAAGAAUGUGUGAGAUUUCAAAUUUCUUCAUAUCUGUCACUGGUUAUUUCAUGUCUCUGUUUCUGCUUGCUGCCUAUGUUGCAACAUUCAUUUGGCUUCUUAUUCCUAGUCAAUUACUUAUUUGCCUCUCGAUUUUGACUAGGUCGAUAGUAAGCUUAAAGUUUAAUUUCAAACAGUUUCAUAUUUAAAGAAAAGUAGUAUUUUGAAGAAGCGGAAAUAAACACAAAAAAAAGAUAGUUGGUGCAAUGAGUAAAUCAUUUUCAAAUAUAAAAUUAUUAUUACAAGCAAAAUUGGAAUUAUUAGAAUGACAGUAUGCUCCAAAGAUAAGAGUAUAAUAUGAAUAGUACAAAAUUAGCCUUUUUCUUUAAACAAAAUAAUUCAGUAAACUGAUCAUAAGAACGUAAUAAAGAGUAAAAUUCUAUCCUACAUUUGUAUUUCAAAAGUAAAAAAUAUUAAUUUUUAAAUACAUUUGGUUCUCAGUGAUUGACAAGAUAAAAUCUUAUUUAACUUUCUCCUUAUAGAGUAGGAAUUCCAGAUACAUAUUAUCUUACCAAGGGUUUGAUAAUGACAUUUUAAUUACAGCACCACUAUAGACAAGUAGCCAUUGUUAAUGGAGGUUAUCAUUCCAAUUUCCCUCUUGUGAAGUUAUUAAUUUGUGGAGAUUAUAAAGGACUCCAAUCUUUAACCCUUCCAAUGAGUUAAAAAAAUAUAAAAUAUUUCUUAUCAAAUUGCACCAUCAACAACUCAUACGAAUGCCACCUUUAUGGCCGCAAAACAGAGUGCUUGAUAACCAAAUUUAAGAUAAAUCUCAAUUCGACGGUAAGUGCAUCACUUAGAUUUGUUACAUCCUAAUAAUAUAUACUAAAUUUAUAAAUAAUUAAUAUAUAUUUUAUUAAUUUAAAUAAUAAAAUAUAUAAAUUAUAUAUAUAUCAACUGCCAGUGGUACCUUUUUUAAACUAAAGGAAGCUAUUAGUGGAGACAAGCUUUAGAAGUGAACGCCACUCAUCUGCUAAACUACAAAAGAUGCCACCACACCUCUGACGUCAAAUGAUAUGCAUGUGCUCUAGUCACUGUUGAAACUAAGAAAUUAUUAACCGUGAGCCUAAUAUCCAAAGAACCUUUGGAUCCAAUCAAUUGAUUUUAGAUAAACUAUGGUGAAAAUAUAUCAUUUUUCGUUACUCUUCAGCUUUCCACCAAAUUCAGCCCCCCAAAAGUUCAAGAAAAAAAAUUAAUACCAAGGAUAAUAUAAAUUCCAAGAGUUUAGGCGAAUAAUUUUUUUUCUGAUCAGCAUUUUGCAAUUAGUUGAAAAUUGGAACUUGCCAGAAGCUGUGCAGCUCAAUUUUAUCAGGCACAUACGAAAACACACUUCCUAUUUCUCUGAAAGUUUGUCUUGCAGCAGUUUAAGAUGAACAAAAGCAAGUUGGUUUUCUGCUUGUAAUUUACAACUCAAUUAGAUUAUAGAAGAAAUUAAAACAGUAAUAUGUAAUUCUUUGGGGCAUAACCUUUAAUACUACUGAUAAGUAUAACGGAUACGUUCCUAAAUUAUAUUGUACUAAAUUUACAACCGCAAGGAGAUCCAAGUUGGAGAGUUAAUAAUCACACUAGGUUAGGAGAAAGAGCAAUAACUUGGCCAUAUUGUCAAAGUUUUCAACUAGUUGGAACCCGGUGGAUCUUCUUCUCUAAACCGGUGGAUCUUCUUCUCUAACAUGAAAUUUUAAACAGCCAACUUGACUGCAUAGGGUACUAGGUUAGUAAAGACAAGAAAGUAUGACAUGAACAAAAACCACUUAAUAGACGUCUUUUACAAGUAGAUAUUGAGGAUGCACAUAAAGGAAAGGGAGAGAAGCCACCGCAUGGACAUCUUUUGGCCGAGGAAGUUAUGGAGGACUCGUAUAAGAACAAGAGAGAGAAGCCACCACAUGGACAUCUUUUGGCCGAGGAAUAAGUGGAGGAUUCACGCAAAGGAAACGGAGAGAAACCACCACCAAAACACAAACCUCCACAUGGACAUCUUUUAGCUGA